rnacentral:lncRNA from 1 species
GCUCACGACCCGACCGGGACAUUGCUUACACAGCCCAAAGAAUGGGUGUGUAUUUAAGGUGUCUGAGGCAGGUAGCAGAGUCCCGCGGAGUCCAUGUCUCUCCUGAGCAGCAGUCUGAUUGGUCAGUCCAGCGGAGGAGAUGCUUCUCUCAUGUCCCUCCCCGCUCUCAUGAACAAGCCGGCGGGGCAGUACCUGGACCUGACCCUGCUGUAGAGUCACAAAUAUACAAAGGUCAUGUGACAAUUUUUAUGUCAAAGACUUGUAAUGUAUUGUUAGGUUUUUAAAAAAAAUAGUCUUUUAGAUGUGUUAUUUAUAUCUUUAAGAUCAUAAAUUAAUGUAUUUUAUACCAAAAUCAUUGUGGCCUUAGCCAAAAAAAUAGCAGUUUUUGUUUAAUAUUGCACAGUGUGUAUUUUAAAAGCUUUAUAGAGAUUGUUUUUACAUGUAAUGAUGUUAUAAUCACAAUGAUAUAUUUGCUAGCCAAACUACAGAAGAAUGACCUAGUAGUUAAAUUCUUUCCAUAAGCUUCUCUGUGAAGAGUGAAAGUGUGUGUGUGUGUGUGUGUGUGUGUGUGUGUUUUAGUGUGAAAGAGAUGAAAAUGAGUAUUAUGCAUGGCUGUGUUGAAAGGUCUUAAUACUGUCUGUUUAUGCAAUACAUUUUAUGUGUUUAUAUACAUUUGAUACAGUACACAGUGAUUGUAUUGGAAGCUUUAGUGCAUGAAGAAGUUAGUAGUAAAACUUUUAAUGUUUACAUAAUGCCAAAUAUCAAUGCACUGCUAAUCAAUAAGACUACUAAUGAAUUUAAUAGCAGUACCUUUUGAAUUAUAACAUAUGUUACACUGUGAGUUUGUCAAAACGUCUGAUCCUUGCAUCAGGCGUCACUUACAAAAAUGUGACAUCUCAUACUCAUUAGCCCCCUCCUUUCCUUCUUAUGUGCCCUAUAUGGGUCUGUUUCCUUGUUGUGAAAUGCCGAUAUUGUCUUGCCCUUUUGUUUUGGACUCACAUUUCAGAGGACAGUCCCCGUCCUCUGUAAUCUAACCACAGGGUUGCAUUCUCUAAGAGGACUCGUGUCACAAGCUCUCAUCUUACUGAGUGAAUCUUAGGAGCCAGAGGUGGUUUCUGAUUUAAUUACAUGUUUUACUCAAAUAAGACCACAAAGAUGUUAUCAGCCCAUCACACUUCCCUGGUCUUCUUUCCACCAUCCACGCUGAUGUCGGGGGAUGCAACGGAGCAAACUGGUUUCCCUGCAGAAAUUCCUUUUGCCAUUUCUCUUGUUAACUAAAUCAUUUGAAAAGUAGAUGGAAAGUUGGAAAGGAAACUUCUGACGUGUAUCUUGUGAAUUUACCUGCCAUUUGUGCCCAGCGGAUUCGCUGUUUGGGCUUCAUGUUGCUGUACACACUUCCUACAGUAGGACUUUAAACUCCUGCUCAGGACGUUAAGCUGUGGCAAUGCUGAAACAACAAUAAACAUAACAUGUGAA